rnacentral:rRNA from 1 species
UACGUAGGGUGCAAGCGUUGUCCGGAAUUAUUGGGCGUAAAGAGCUCGUAGGCGGUCUGUCGCGUCUGCUGUGAAAAUCCAGGGCUCAACCCUGGACCCGCAGUGGGUACGGGCAGACUAGAGUGCGGUAGGGGAGAUCGGAAUUCCUGGUGUAGCGGUGAAAUGCGCAGAUAUCAGGAGGAACACCGGUGGCGAAGGCGGAUCUCUGGGCCGUAACUGACGCUGAGGAGCGAAAGCGUGGGGAGCAAACAGG